GACGAACGCUGGCGGCGUGCCUAAUACAUGCAAGUUGAGCGAUGAAGAUUGGUGCUUGCACCCAUUUGAAGAGCAGCGAACGGGUGAGUAACGCGUGGGGAAUCUGCCUUUGAGCGGGGGACAACAUUUGGAAACGAAUGCUAAUACCGCAUAACAACUUUAAACAUAAGUUUUAAGUUUGAAAGAUGCAAUUGCAUCACUCAAAGAUGAUCCCGCGUUGUAUUAGCUAGUUGGUGAGGUAAAGGCUCACCAAGGCGAUGAUACAUAGCCGACCUGAGAGGGUGAUCGGCCACAUUGGGAAUGAGACACGGCCCAAACUCCUACGGGAGGCAGCAGUAGGGAAUCUUCGGCAAUGGACGAAAGUCUGACCGAGCAACGCCGCGUGAGUGAAGAAGGUUUUCGGAUCGUAAAACUCUGUUGGUAGAGAAGAACGUUGGUGAGAGUGGAAAGCUCAUCAAGUGACGGUAACUACACAGAAAGGGACGGCUAACUACGUG
rnacentral:rRNA from 1 species